ensembl:lncRNA THUMPD3-AS1 THUMPD3 antisense RNA 1
UCUGGAUGGCGGCGGCCGCGGCUCCGCCCCGGGUUCCCACCGCCUGAAGGGCGAGACAAGCCCGACCUGCUACAGGUGUGGAAACAGGAAGAGAACUAGAACUGGAAGUAAAGCAUUGAAGAUGUGACUGAAUUGCUGCAAUCUCAUGAUCAAAUUUGAAUGGAUGAGGAGUUGCUUUUUAGGGAUGAGCAAAGAAAGUGGUUUCUCGAGAUGGAAUCUACUGGUUGCUCCUUGAGGGCAGGACAGUUCUUAUGGCUUUAUCCGUUGCGUAAGCACAGAGAGGUCUGCGAGGUCAAAACUAUUGUCAUGAUAGCAAGAUGCCUGUCUUUUUCAUUUAUUCUCACGGUGUGCAGAGGCUACAUGAUGUGUGAUGACAUCCUCAUUGAUGUUAAUGAAUGGUGCUAUACUUGAAUUUUCUAAGGUGUCAUUAGGUAGGUUUAGGUAUGCAUACUUGUUUUUAGAAAUUAUUUUUUUCCUUUUUCCCAUUUUUAGAAAUCAACUCAUUUUUUAGGUUAUGCCUUCAGUAAUCUUUGCAACCUCAAUAUUGUGUAAUGGUUACUUUAAAAUACUGUAGUUUUCUUUG